CGCGUAUCCUUUACAUGCAUCAUCACUGAAAGGGUUCGACGCUGGACUGCGCGUCGCCGGCAGCGCGGGUACAAUAACGGACCUCCCUUCAAGCGAGUGAACACGAUUAGGGGGCGAAGCUGCACACAGGCGGCCAAUAUACGGUUUGGUGCUCCGUGAGUCUGAUUUGGCCGCCCUCCCCCUGCUACAGGUGUGCGCGCGAAGUGAGGAAGCGGUCGAACACGCACGCACAAGCAUCACAAGAAGCCACCUGCGCAUAGAUUCAUACAACGUGCAUAGAGGAAAGGAAGACGAGGAGGGUGUGAAGGUCAAGGCGAGCGGCACACGGGCCCUCUUUCUCCCCUCCCUCCCAUCCCCACACAAACACAACUACACAUUCACAGGUGCGCCAACAACAAGGGAUACCACCUAGCGCUGCUAUCUCCACUUGUACACGCCGGUGCCCUCCAGCAUUUGUUUCUUGCCUCUGCAUGCAUAUGUUGCCCUCCCCUUUCCUCCGAAAAAAAGAAAGAACAACAGUUUACCGCUACGUGUCUUCUUCUCCUUACGCUUCCUUUGCGCUGUCGCCAUCAUGAGUUUGUUCACGCAACGUGGACGCGUCGAGGUCUCCUCGGGCGACAGCGAGCCGGACUCGAUUGCCUCCACCGUCGUUGACUCUGCCGAUGAGCUCAUCGAAGGGCUCGCUCGAAUGGCCUUGGCCGGGCACUACAGCGGCGGACCAAGAGCGUACGAAACUAACCAGCUCCUCCAGGGUCGGGGAAUGUCCCGUCGCCCACGCGAGGUAGCGGAGACAGGACUCAGCAUGGGUUCAUCGAGACAGGUGAUGCCCACGCCUUGCGCGAUCACUACUCCUCCAGCCUAUCAAGCAUGCGCGCGGUCGAACAGACAAGGUGGCGCUUUCGUUUCUCCAUGCACUGCUCGCGACAUGGACGAAGCGGAAAACGACGCGCGCGCGUUCGAGAAGAUGUACCGGCAUCUCGCCCGCGAGUACCUGAGAGGAAACAGUAGCGUCUACCACGCGGUCAGCGAGGCAGAGACGGCGGGGUGCGUGGAACAUGAUAGUGUAGCCAGAAGAGGCAUUGCAGGUCCCUCGCUUUCCAUGAAGCCCUCCCCCGCGUGCAAGCCACGCCGAAAACCAGACGAGCAGGCUCAGUCGCGGCUUUUGAAGCCGAACCAGGCUCAACUGGCACGACAAGUGGAGAAGUACGAGAGAUGCAAGAGGCGCGAUGAGGAGGCGCGAAGGUAUCCGAAGCCCGUGCGUGUGCCUGCGGAGGCAGUCAAGCGAGGGACGCGGCUCUUUCUCGAGGCCCAGGCGAGGGCCGACAACGUGAAGCUGGCGCAGGAGGCGCAGGCGAGGCAGAAGGCUGCACAGGAGACGAAGGAGUGCACGUUUCACCCUUCCGUGUCGGCCUACGCGGCGCGGUUCGCGGCGGGUGGGGCGUACUACCCGUUGGAGAGCCGGCUGGAGAACCAGGCCGCGCACAACGAGAAGCGACUGCGAAUGCGGCUCGAGCGAAUGGUGGAGCGCGAGAAAGAGUGCACCUUCAAACCCACCCUCUCUCCUGGAACGGAGGAGCUGAUGUCAAGCCUGCGCCGCCGCCGCCGCCAACGCUGGCAUCACCGCCGCUCUUUCCGCACACCAGAAACGGGCGAACGCGCGAGGAGCAACCGGAGUCGGCGAGCGUCACCUCCACGACAUGAGCCGUUUGAGCCUGGGGAGCGACUGUACCGCGACGGCGGCGAACGUCUCCUGCGUCAGCAGGUGCGACUUCAGAGAGCAGCAGCCGAGGAACAGCGCCACGUUGUCGGUGGCGGGCUGACACUUUCUCACGCCGACGCCCAACAGCUGGCCGACCGCUUCACAGCUUGGGCGGCGGCGCGUGCGGCGAACCGAGAAGAGCUGCGCAUUGCUUUGGAGCAGCAGGAACGCGAAACGCCACGAGCCGCCGCCAAGCGAGAGGCGACGGCUGGGCGAGGAGGUGGUGCUCUUCGCAGCAGAUCUUCGUCGAAUUCAAAAGGCCCAACAACCGCGCCACGCUUCGCGCAGCUAGCGAGGAGCGGCAGUGGUAGCGCUUACCCUGCGGCGACUGAUGCCUCGGCGCCGCUGCCGCUCAAGAUCAACAACGACUUUGCUUCUCCCGCGGGCUCAAUGAGAGCCUACGUGGAAAACGACAAUCUAGCGGCAUCGCGGGUGCCGUCGGAUAGAGCAUGCUCGCCAUGGCUUCCCUCAGACGCCGUGUGCCCGGCGACAGCCACUAGCUCCCCUCGUAGUCUGGCGGCGCCGGCGGCAUGUCCUGCGGCGAACGUGUCGGUGCACAAGGAGCUCCUGCGCAUCCGCCUCGGUGCUCUCUUUUACAAGUACGCGGUUUCCCCCACAGCUAACGCAGUGUGCCUCGCGCAAGUCAAGCAGCAGGUCCGCUGCUACUACCCAGAAGACUCCGGCAUCGCCGCAGCACUUGCGUCUUCCUUUGCAGAUCGGCAGCAGCCCAUCACCAAGACAGAGUUCAUGGCAGCGCUCGCGCGCUACGUGGCGCAGUAUGGAAUACAACCAUGGUGUCUGCCACACCGCAGUGACCCCAAUGCGAUCGUGGCUGUGCCUUACAGCCCGUCAGAUUCUUCUGCUGCCGAUUCUGCGGGUGCCGUGACGUCGAAUGGCUUGGUGAGCUCUGGUGACUCGCUGGGGGCGAUGGAUGGCGACGCGCCUGUGUCUACCCCGCCAUGGGGGAGAGGGACAGGGGCCGUUAGCAGUGCGCCGGGUCGCCGGAGUGAAAUUGGCUGCUCGGUGGUUGCACCUGCAACGGCACACGCCUCUGAAGGCGCAAGUGACGAAAAGCCGGCUCGAACGCAUAUCUACACCGUCCCUGUGCAGGCUGACUGCUCUCCGCCGACAUCCGCACCCGCCACCGUGACGCCAAGCUGCGCUGCAAAGGCAAGCGUGGCGAACACUGCGGCAACACUGAGGCGUGAAGCCUCCGCUGGCAAGUCGAGGGAGCCUCGUUGCGGUAGCUUGCAAAGUCGCGUUGCCUCGAAAGACACGCCGCCAACAAAGAUUCCAACCGCUGCUGCUGACUUUGUGCGCGGGUAUGAGGACCACGUGCAGCGGCGGCGUCGCGCCGUCGACCGCGCGCGUGCGGCGAGCGAGGCAGGUCAAAAGAAGGCGUCGGAGGAGUGCACGUUUCGCCCCACUUUGACUCCUCGCAGCGUGGUGCUCAGCGAGAUGAAUAUGGAGAAACGAAUGGCCUACGCGCGUGAGCUGCAGCUGCGACGACCCGAUCUCUACUCGCUCAGUUCUUCAGUGCUGGGGGCGCGGAGCGACGACGAUGGCUUACCUCGCGCCGCUCCGUCACAGAGAGACGCGCGAGCCUGUGACGCGCUGGCCUCCACGCAGACACCUCCGCCGACGCCGUCCACAAAGCACCCAUCCGUGUCGCUCUCUAGCACGUCUCCACAGUUGGACUUCAGCCCAUCUUUUGAAUUGUCGAGUCCAUCCUGCAGCACGCCGCGGCACGACAGCGGAAACGUGUCGUCAAAGCCUGCGGCAACGCCGUCGCCUUCACAUGAGGAGCAGUUCCCCGGGGAAGCGGGCACGCGUCGAGCCGUAGCCAAGCUAGAGCAGUUGCUAAGCGAUGUGGCGGGCAAAGAGCGCUCAACGCAACCCGCUCAGGAGGGAGCGAGGGCGCCGCCGCCUUAUCCUCCAGUGCACGCGGGCGUUUCUAGUGUGGCACAUGACGGUGCGACGACUGCGACGGACGGCACCGAUGUGACACAGACGCUUUCCACCGCGCCGUUGUCUUGCUUUUUCGCGACGAAACCGGCGCAGGCUGUCUUGUGUGCCGAGGAGAAACAUCUUGAGUCGCGGCACACUGUAAAGGCUGCGCGCGUUGCCAACUAAGCGACAGCGAGUGCGGCGAGUGUGUGCUUGUCCGCGGUUCCUUUCUUUUUCUUUCGCAAGUUGUCUUCUGCCCGUGGAUGUCUGCUCUGUACUCGUGUCUCGGAACUGCCAUCCGCUUCUCGUGGGAACACAGACUCGCCUCAGCGUUGCUGAUGAGGGAGAGCAGCGCGUGGGGGAGGGGUGAGCUAGACAGAUAGAGGGAGGGGAGAACGGGGGGGGGACUGGAUAGCUGCACGAUCCCGCGGUGCAUCUGGGUCUUCGCUCCAGCACCGGGUACGCAGCCACACACAGACAAGCGCGCACUGAUCGCGCAGUUCUCAGAGAGGCUCAGCGUGGCGUCUUCUUCUCGUCGUUUUUAUCUUUUCCCAUUGCUUGCUCUGAUUCGUCGUGGCGUGCUUUUCUCCACUUUCCGAAUAGAAACGAACGCAUACUGCUUCUGAGGGCCACCUCGCCAUAGACACAAGGCUUUCGAUCGCGUAGACACAUGCGAACUCUAUGAUGGAGCAGGUGGGGAACUGGGGGGGCGGUAGGUGCUCCAGGAGAGCCUCCUCCCC
rnacentral:misc_RNA from 1 species